GAUGAAGAACGCAGCGAAAUGCGAUAAGUAAUGCGAAUUGCAGAAUUCAGUGAGUCAUCGAAUCUUUGAACGCACAUUGCGCCCUGUGGUAUUCCGCAGGGCAUGCCUGUUCGAGCGUCAUUUCAACCCUCAAGCUCUGCUUGGUGUUGGGCCCUGCCCGCUGCGGCCGGCCCUAAAGACAGUGGCGGUGCCGCCUGGCCCUGAGCGUAGUACAUCUCUCGCUCCAGUGCCCGGUGGUAGCCUGCCAGAACCCCAACUCUCGUGGUUGACCUCGGAUCAGGUAGGGAUACCCGCUGAACUUAAGCAUAUCAAUAAGCGGAGA
rnacentral:misc_RNA from 1 species